AUUUCUCAAAUAGAAGUAAUUCUGUUCAAAUAGAUUUUUUUUUAACAGGAGUCUCACUAGUGUCGAUAUUCACGGCUCCUGCAACAUUCGAUUCUUCUCCCAUGGAGGUCUGAAGAUAUAUCGGUGGACAUGUCUUUUGGCCGGUCAGGUAACCUUCAAGUCUAUAGCUCCUUAGAAUAGGCAGGGCAAGAUUUUUCCACAACAAAAAAUUGCUCUGGUCCAAUUUUAUGAAAGUAAUCUAAUUAAGGAGCUGGUUUAAAGGAGGGCUACUGAAAAUGUUACUACUAGGAUUCAGGGGGAGUUGCUAUUGAAUUUGUGUUGGCCAUAGUUGCUCUGAUACCAAGUUAAGAAGGACAAAAUAAGAAAAUUUGAGGAGACAAAGAGAUGCUCUGGAAUGGGAAAGGUGAUCCUUAGCCAAUCAGAAUCAUUUCCUAACCAAUUCUGUUAAGCAAUUUCUCUAUUCAUUCAACAGCUGAUUGUAUCACAUUUAAUACCACGGUGGCUUUGUUGUUGCUGACAUGGUCUUCAUCAUUCUUCUCCUUAACAAGGUUGUCAAAAAGGAAACCUGCACUGGAGUGCCAACAUUAUACAAUGGUUAUAAAGAUUUGAUGUCGUCUGUGAGUGUUUUUCAAGAACUGAGUAAGAAAACAAGAUUUGGAAGUCAAAAGAGUCAAAUCCAGCCAAACCUACAAAAAUUGGGGUGAAAAAAUGUAAAGAAACCCAAAUCAGUAUGGCGCCACGACGGUUCUAAGCAUUGCAUGUGGCACCAUUUAUAAGCAUCCCUUGAGAGAACUUUGACGCCAAGUUUCCAAAUUUGAAAAUUUCUGCAUUUUAGGAGAACUUUUUCUAUAAGAUAUGAGGAUGCCCAACCAACUAAGACACGAAAUUUUAGAGCCUAAAGUGAGUUUUGCUGCAGAAAGGAGUUAAGAGUGAAGGAAAUUCAUUGGAGGCUGCUUCUGAUCCUGAGUGCAAAUCAAUGCUUGAUCAACUGUGUGCAACAACGAGGAAUCACUUCGAUGACGUGCCAUUUUCUUUACCGUUUAUGUUUGUCAAAUUGUAUGAGAAUAUGUAUUUGACAACUAUGAAUAGCUAGACUCAUUUGUUAUAGGGUGUUGACGAAUUUAUUCAUGGAUUUUUUUAAUGCAUAGUACUUUAUGGA